rnacentral:rRNA from 1 species
CCCAGACUCCUACGGGAGGCAGCAGUGGGGAAUAUUGCACAAUGGGGGAAACCCUGAUGCAGCGACGCCGCGUGAAGGACGAAGUAUUUCGGUACGUAAACUUCUAUCAGCAGGGAAGAAAAUGACGGUACCUGACCAAGAAGCCCCGGCUAACUACGUGCCAGCAGCCGCGGUAAUACGUAGGGGGCAAGCGUUAUCCGGAUUUACUGGGUGUAAAGGGAGCGUAGACGGCCGUGCAAGUCUGAUGUGAAAGCCCGGGGCUCAACCCCGGGACUGCAUUGGAAACUGCAUGGCUGGAGUGUCGGAGAGGCAAGUGGAAUUCCUAGUGUAGCGGUGAAAUGCGUAGAUAUUAGGAGGAACACCAGUGGCGAAGGCGGCUUGCUGGGCGACGACUGACGUUGAGGCUCGAAAGCGUGGGGAGCAAACAGGAUUAGAUACCCCGGUAA